GGGUAGUUUGACUGGGGCGGUCUCCUCCUAAAGAGUAACGGAGGAGCACGAAGGUUGGCUAAUCCUGGUCGGACAUCAGGAGGUUAGUGCAAUGGCAUAAGCCAGCUUGACUGCGAGCGUGACGGCGCGAGCAGGUGCGAAAGCAGGUCAUAGUGAUCCGGUGGUUCUGAAUGGAAGGGCCAUCGCUCAACGGAUAAAAGGUACUCCGGGGAUAACAGGCUGAUACCGCCCAAGAGUUCAUAUCGACGGCGGUGUUUGGCACCUCGAUGUCGGCUCAUCACAUCCUGGGGCUGAAGUAGGUCCCAAGGGUAUGGCUGUUCGCCAUUUAAAGUGGUACGCGAGCUGGGUUUAGAACGUCGUGAGACAGUUCGGUCCCUAUCUGCCGUGGGCGCUGGAGAACUGAGGGGGGCUGCUCCUAGUACGAGAGGACCGGAGUGGACGCAUCACUGGUGUUCGGGUUGUCAUGCCAAUGGCACUGCCCGGUAGCUAAAUGCGGAAGAGAUAAGUGCUGAAAGCAUCUAAGUACGAAACUUGCCCCGAGAUGAGUUCUCCCUGACUCCUUGAGAGUCCUGAAGGAACGUUGAAGACGACGACGUUGAUAGGCCGGGUGUGUAAG
rnacentral:rRNA from 1 species